AACUGCGACUUGAGCGCGCGCGCGCGGUACUGCGUACUGCAGCUCGUAGAUGCUGUCAGUACGCAGCAUGUGCGUCAUGCUGCAUGGUACGUCAUGGCUAAUGACGGUACCUGAAGAAUAAGCACCGGCUAACUACGUGCCAGCAGCCGCGGUAAUACGUAGGGUGCAAGCGUUAAUCGGAAUUACUGGGCGUAAACACGAAAGCGUGGGGAGCAAACAGGAUUAGAUACCCUGGUAGUCCACGCCCUAAACGAUGUCAACUGGUUGUUGGUCCUUCGCUGGAUCAGUAACGAAGCUAACGCGUGAAGUACAUGGCGUGCGCAGGCGGUUCAUGCACGAAUUUCGGCUGCGCUAAUGCUACGUGCUCGAUGACAAAGCGUGGGGAGCAAACAGGAUUAGAUACCCUGGUAGUCCACGCCCUAAACGAUGUCUACUAGUUGUCGGGUUUUAAUUAACUUGGUAACGCAGCUAACGCGUGAUGACCGCCUGGGGGAGUACGGCCGCAAGGUUGAAACUCAAGAAUUGAGGGGACCCGCACAAGCGGUGGAUGAUGUGGUUUAAUUCGAUGCACGCGAAAACUUACCACCUUUGAGUAGACCGCCUGGGGAGUACGGUCGCAAGAUUAAAACUCAAAGGAAUUGACGGGGAC
rnacentral:rRNA from 1 species